GGGAAUAUUGCACAAUGGGCGAAAGCCUGAUGCAGCAACGCCGCGUGAGUGAUGAAGGUCUUCGGAUUGUAAAGCUCUGUCUUUUGGGACGAUAAUGACGGUACCAAAGGAGGAAGCCACGGCUAACUACGUGCCAGCAGCCGCGGUAAUACGUAGGUGGCGAGCGUUGUCCGGAUUUACUGGGCGUAAAGGGUGCGUAGGCGGAUGUUUAAGUGAGAUGUGAAAUACCCGGGCUUAACUUGGGUGCUGCAUUUCAAACUGGAUAUCUAGAGUGCAGGAGAGGAGAAUGGAAUUCCUAGUGUAGCGGUGAAAUGCGUAGAGAUUAGGAAGAACACCAGUGGCGAAGGCGAUUCUCUGGACUGUAACUGACGCUGAGGCACGAAAGCGUGGGUAGCAAACAGGAUUAGAUACCCUGGUAGUCCACGCCGUAAAACGAUGAGUACUAGGGUGUAGGAGGUAUCGACCCCCUU
rnacentral:rRNA from 1 species